rnacentral:rRNA from 1 species
AGGGCCAUCGCUCAACGGAUAAAAGCUACCCCGGGGAUAACAGGCUUAUCUCCCCCAAGAGUUCACAUCGACGGGGAGGUUUGGCACCUCGAUGUCGGCUCAUCGCAUCCUGGGGCUGUAGUCGGUCCCAAGGGUUGGGCUGUUCGCCCAUUAAAGCGGUACGCGAGCUGGGUUCAGAACGUCGUGAGACAGUUCGGUCCCUAUCCGUCGUGGGCGUAGGAAAUUUGAGAGGAGCUGUCCUUAGUACGAGAGGACCGGGAUGGACAUACCUCUGGUGUACCAGUUGUCGUGCCAACGGCAUAGCUGGGUAGCUAUGUAUGGACGGGAUAAGUGCUGAAAGCAUCUAAGCAUGAAGCCCCCCUCAAGAUGAGAUUUCCCAACUUCGGUUAUAAGAUCCCUCAAAGAUGAUGAGGUUAAUAGGUUCGAGGUGGAAGCGUGGUGACACGUGGAGCUGACGAAUACUAAUCGAUCGAAGACUUAAUCAAAAUU